CCUUACCUGGUCUUGACAUAGUAAGAACUUUCCAGAGAUGGAUUGGUGCCUUCGGGAACUUACAUACAGGUGCUGCAUGACUGUCGUCAGCUCGUGUCGUGAGAUGUUGGGUUAAGUCCCGCAACGAGCGCAACCCUUUUCCUUAUUUGCCAGCGGGUUAAGCCGGGAACUUUAAGGAUACUGCCAGUGACAAACUGGAGGAAGGCGGGGACGACGUCAAGUCAUCAUGGCCCUUACGACCAGGGCUACACACGUGCUACAAUGGUCGGUACAAAGGGUUGCUACCACGCGAGUGGAUGCUAAUCUCAAAAAGCCGAUCGUAGUCCGGAUUGGAGUCUGCAACUCGACUCCAUGAAGUCGGAAUCGCUAGUAAUCGCGGAUCAGAAUGCCGCGGUGAAUACGUUCCCGGGCCUUGUACACACCGCCCGUCACACCAUGGGAGUUUGUUGCACCAGAAGUAGGUAGUCUAACCGCAAGGAGGACGCUUACCACGGUGUGGCAGAUGACUGGGGUGAAGUCGUAACAAGGUAAGCGUAGAUGA
rnacentral:rRNA from 1 species